AGUGAACGCUGGCGGUAGGCCUAACACAUGCAAGUCGAACGGCAGCACAGGAGAGCUUGCUCUCUGGGUGGCGAGUGGCGGACGGGUGAGGAAUACAUCGGAAUCUACUUUUUCGUGGGGGAUAACGUAGGGAAACUUACGCUAAUACCGCAUACGACCUACGGGUGAAAGCAGGGGGCCUUCGGGCCUUGCGCGAUUGAAUGAGCCGAUGUCGGAUUAGCUAGUUGGCGGGGUAAGGGCCCACCAAGGCGACGAUCCGUAGCUGGUCUGAGAGGAGUGUCAGCCACACUGGAACUGAGACACGGUCCAGACUCCUACGGGAGGCAGCAGUGGGGAAUAUUGGACAAUGGGCGCAAGCCUGAUCCAGCCAUACCGCGUGUGUGAAGAAGGCCUUCGGGUUGUAAAGCCCUUUUGUUGGGAAAGAAAGCCAUCUGGUUAAUACCCGGGUGGGAUGACGGUACCCAAAGAAUAAGCACCGGCUAACUUCGUGCCAGCCGCCGCAGUAA
rnacentral:rRNA from 1 species